rnacentral:rRNA from 1 species
AACGAACGCUGGCGGCAGGCCUAACACAUGCAAGUCGAACGCCCUAGCAAUAGGGAGUGGCAGACGGGUGAGUAACACGUGGGAACCUUCCCUAUAGUACGGAAUAGCCCAGGGAAACUUGGAGUAAUACCGUAUACGCCCGAGAGGGGAAAGAUUAUCGCUAUAGGAUGGGCCCGCGUUGGAUUAGCUAGUUGGUGAGGUAAUGGCUCACCAAGGCGACGAUCCAUAGCUGGUCUGAGAGGACGACCAGCCACACUGGGACUGAGACACGGCCCAGACUCCUACGGGAGGCAGCAGUGGGGAAUAUUGGACAAUGGGCGCAAGCCUGAUCCAGCCAUGCCGCGUGAGUGAUGAAGGCCUUAGGGUUGUAAAGCUCUUUUGGUCGGGGACGGAUAAUGACGGUACCCGCAGAAUAAGUACCCGGCUAACUUCGUG